AGGGGAAGAGGGCAGUUUGGACUUUGAAUGUUGAGGAUAGGGAUGGGGAGGAGGUUUUGUGGAAGAGGUGGGGGCUAGGUGGUAUUUUGUGGGCAUGGGAGGGGGCUUGGUGGGGUUUCCUGAGCAAGGGUGGGGCUUAGUGUAGGGAUGAAAGUAAUACGACUUAAAAUCGAAAAUCGAACCAAACCGAACUGAAUUAACAAUUCGAUUUGGAUUUUUUUUGGUUUUUGAUUUGGAUCGGUUCCAAAAAUCCAAAACCAAAUAUUUCGAUUUGGAUUCGGUUUAUGGCUUCAAAAAACUGAACACCGAAAUUCCAAACCGAAUUAUACAAGCCCUAAUACCCCAACCCAUUUCCCCUCCAUAUAUAAGCCUAAACCCCAACCCAUUUCCUCUUCUCCAUUUCCUCUUUCCUUUCUUCUGAACUCAAGAUCUCCGCAUAUCCAUGCCUCCCUCACCAUGUCACCACCUCCCUAAAUUCUCCCCCUUUUCUCACUAGUCACCACCUUGCGCGAACACCACCACCUCACGACCUCCCUCACCAACUUGCGCGAACUAUGACUUGCGAAUUCUGAGUUGCGAGUUCAUAUCUUGCAAAUUCUAGGUUGCGAUUUUAUUAGAUCUUGCGAGUUGCGAGUUGAGGCUCCCUCACCGCCUUGCGCGAACAACUCCCUCACCACCUUGCGGCUCCCUUGUGCGUGUUCCCUCACCAACACCUCGGUCACUUUCACUCAAACAAGGUUAACAAAUAUGGGUAAUGUUCAAGGGACUGUUGGUGAAAAGUAGAAGUUGCCGAGUUAAAGCGGCUGAGUUGAAGCUGCCAAUCCUGCCAAGUUGAAUUAAGCUUGCUGUCAGUUGAAUUAAGCUGAUGUAGUUGAAUUAAGUUGGUUCCAUGGACUGUUAUCUCAUUUUAUGUGACUUAUAAUUCAUUUUUAAGACUUUUAAUAUGUUUGUAAUUUUAUUCUAAUGGCUGAAAGUUUUUUUUUAUUA